GAGAUAGGCAUUGGGAGUAUAGGAGUGAGUGAGAUGAGUAUAGAAGUGAGUGAGAUAGGCAUAGGGAGUAUAGCUCAGUGGGUAGAGUUGCUGGCUGGCACCCAGGAGGCCGGGGUUCGAUUCCAGGUGUGAGUGAGAUAGGCAUAGGGAGUAUAGCAGUGAGUGAAUGCGAUAGGCAUAGG